rnacentral:lncRNA from 1 species
GAUGUUGCUCUCAGGAGUUCAGCAUCAUGAUGUCAGAUCAGCAAUGUUCCCCAGUAGUGCGAUACUGGAGGAAACUUUUCCGUCGGGCGGAGAUGGAAAUAAAAUCAAAGGACGUUACGCGAUCAGCGCGAAAAUAUUUGUUCGGGGUUCAAGAAAAGCAAAAAAAAAAAAAGAUUAUCAAUCAGAAAAUUUCGGGGUUCAAGAAAAGUAAAAAAGAGAUAAUAAUCCCCAGCGGAUGUGGUGUUCAGGCCAUGGUUAUCCCUGCGUUACCAUUUAUUUUGGUAUCCAGGUCAUAUUUCUGUUUCGGUAUUCAGGCCGACUUUCUCCG